rnacentral:lncRNA from 1 species
UUCUUCUUCCCCUCUUCUUCUCUUCUUCACUCAAGAACCCUAACUCUUACUCUUUUAAAAUGGAACAAAAAUGAUCCACAAUCAGCCUAACACAAUAAUAUAACCUCAAAAGAAAAGAUUUGUGAAAAGACCAAAAUGCCCUUAAAUUUCCGGACGGACUCCUUGCUAACUGCCCAACUUUCAAAGGGCAUAACUCGCUCAUACGAACUCGGAAUCGAGCAAACUCGGUGGCGUUGGAAAGAUCGUUCCAAGGGCUUUCCAAAAAUAACUGGAACUACUCCUAGAUCAUCCUGAGCUAGGAGUUAUGACUGCUCAAAGUUGGCCAAAAACUCACUGAUUUCCCACACUUAACCAAAUUUCCAGGUUCUGAACUUUUUCCAAAAGUGACUACUUCCAAUUUCAAGCUACUUCAUAUUCAUUUUAAAUUGUCGGAUGUAACACAAUUAAAAUGAAAUUACAUAAAAACCC